AGGUCUGUAGCUCAAUGGUAGAGCAUUGUUUUGAUAGGGCAAAGGGUAUUGGUUCAAUUCCAAUUAGACCUA
rnacentral:tRNA from 1 species